rnacentral:rRNA from 1 species
GACGAACGCUGGCGGCAUGCCUAACACAUGCAAGUCGAACGGAGAUAGCGAUAUCUUAGUGGCGAACGGGUGAGUAAUGCAUGAGCAACCUGCCCUGCAAACCGGGAUAACACAGAGAAAUUUGUGCUAAUACCGGAUAAGACCACGCCUCCGCAUGGAGAAGUGGUAAAAACGAUUUAGUGAUGCAGGAGGGGCUCAUGUCCCAUUAGAUAGUUGGCGGGAUAACAGCCCACCAAGUCCGCGAUGGGUAGCCGACUUGAGAGAGUGAUCGGCCACACUGGAACUGAGACACGGUCCAG